GGAGGUACAGCUCAGUGGUAAAGCGCAUGCUUAACAUACAUGAGGUCCUGGGUUCAGUCCCUAGUACCACCA
rnacentral:tRNA from 1 species